GACUUUCUUCAGCAAAGAUGGCUGACAAAACAUUACGGGGAGGCAAAUGGUUAGGACUGUAACCACCAGAGGACUUGAAAAUGAGCCGGAGCUGAGAGGAUCACCAAAACUAAAGAGCUUACAACCAUGCGGACAACCAUCCGUGGAGAUCAGUGGAUAAAGGGCUGGACAACGGGCCACACCGAAAAAAAAAAACACAUGGUUGUCAAGAAAGCCGCCACUGUAAUCGAUGAGGGCUCAGGGCGGUACCAUUCUGCUCAUCUGAUGAAGGUGCUCAUGGAUGAGAUUCAAACUUUGAAGACCGAGAUCGAGUCAUUGAAGGCAGACCAGCAGAAAGAGAAACAUUAUCUGAGGGCAGAGAUACGGGCGACAGCUGAUGCAUUGGUCCAGAGUCAGGUGGUAUUGGUGGAGAGUCACUCCUCAUUGGCGGAGAGUCAGGUGGAGAUGUGUAACCGAAGAGAGAUACCACAAGUGGGCACAAAAUACAAACUGGGUUAGAUCCCGAGGCAAAUGUGGCUUAACAGUGAACCUCCGGGUGUUCAUCAUUAAUACUGUGUCUCAGAAGUUUCCGUCCAUGACUGAUGCAACCCGAAAAAUAAUGAGUACUUGAGGUCACCGAG
rnacentral:lncRNA from 1 species